ACUAAGUUCUCCUACGGGGAAAGGGGGAGAGCUUGCAGGGAGGCUGAAAACUGUUCUAAGUCCCUGGACUGGCAUAAAGGUCUUAGAAAUACAGAGACAAUGGGGAUGUCUGGAGCAGCCACUCCCUCAUGCUCACUCUCGGCCAUGCUUUCGUCUUUCUCCCCCCAGAUUCUAAGCACACACCUUCAACUCCCAGAAAGGAGACUUGACUUCACGGGACUCCUUCAGCAAACUCGACUCCCUAGAAUGUGGUUGGCUGAUUCCCUGGUCUUUUUGACGGAUACUCUAUGAGCUGAAAGAAUUAUAACCACUGAUAGUCCUGGGACAGAGAGCAGCAGGAAUGUCAACCAUGACUCCUAUGAAAGAAUCAAAUCCUUUCUCCCCAGCAAGCACAGGAGCCGUCUUUGAGAUCAGUUCAACACAUUCUAGAGCUCGUUACCCACUGUGAAUACAAUUACAAAAAGAGUCAAGCUCAACAAAUUCCUCUUCGCCAAGCCAGGAACUGAAGGAACCUCAAAGCUCACAAGGCAGGCGAAGAGACCCGACAAAGAAGAAAGCAGAGAAGGGGGUGUAAAGAAGAGGCUAGCCACCUCAGUCCUCGCAAGCAAGGCUGGAUUUGCAGUUUCAUCCCGUGACUUACUGAGGUUGUCUCUCAAGAACUAGAGAAGAUAAUGGUUCCUUCCAGACUCUAAAUCUGCCUGAAAGCAAAACGCUCAGAGCUCUGCCAGUCCCUCCGCUCACAGGCAGAGGAAUAAUUGGGCUUUUUAUACCUCAGGAGGCUUUCCAAUCACCAGAGACUAGGCAUCAGCAAGUAUAUAAAUCCAUCCAUAAUUCAAAAAGAAUCCAAGCUGUUGAGGAAAUCUAAGCCCAAACAGAAUGGCUCUUUACUUCGCGGAACCACACUGCUUUUUGAAAUGCUAUUAUUGAGCUCAUUCAGUAAAAUUCGCUUGCUUAAAGGCUCUUUGCUGAAUAGAAAAGCAGAGAGUGAGAACUCAUAAAAUGCUGUUUCAUAAGCAGGCUCUGUGUGGGGGUCGGGGAAAUCACACUGAAGAGUCUGUGUGCAACACCUCCUGCAGCGUGGGCACCUGCAAAGGGACCAGAAGGAUGUGGAUGCUAUUACUGCUGUGCUUUCUAUCGUUGUUGACUGUGGAGGUAGAGAAAAUGUAAUACUCAUGUUUCGUAUCAAGUUAUAACUAAUCAUGCUCUCAAAAGAAUCUUUAUUAUUAUCUAAAAUUAAUGAUAGCUUUAAAUUCCUUAAUGUAUUUUUUUUAAUUGUAGGAAUUCCUUAUUGUGUAUAUCUCUGACCUAGAAGACACCAGAAUACAGCUCCCUCAAAUAUGCCUCUUGUUUGUUUUUUAAAAAAAAGAAAGAGUAUGGAGUUGUGCGGAGAAGGAGGGCAAAUCUGGUAGGAGUUGGUGUAAAGGGGAAGUGUGAUCAGAAUAUAUUGUA